UUUUUAGUAUAAGUAUAUCCCAUGCAAUGUUUGGGGCAUGUUUACACUAAAA
rfam:Pan troglodytes isolate Yerkes chimp pedigree #C0471 (Clint) chromosome 18, whole genome shotgun sequence.